rnacentral:rRNA from 1 species
AUUGAACGCUGGCGGCAGGCCUAACACAUGCAAGUCGAACGAGUGGCGGACGGGUGAGUAAUGUCUGGGAAACUGCCCGAUGGAGGGGGAUAACUACUGGAAACGGUAGCUAAUACCGCAUACCAUCGGAUGUGCCCAGCUGGGAUUAGCUAGUAGGUGGGGUAACGGCUCACCUAGGCGACGAUCCCUAGCUGGUCUGAGAGGAUGACCAGCAAUACUGGAACUGAGACACGGUCCAGACUCCUACGUGAGGCAGUAGUGGGGAAUAUUCCACAAGGGGCGCAAGCCUGAUGCAGCCAUGCCGCGUGUAUGAAGAAGGCCUUCGGGUUGUAAAGUACUUUCAGCGAGGAGGCGUGACUCGCAGAAGAAGCACCGGCUAACUCCGUGCCAGCAGCCGCGGUAAUUC